rnacentral:piRNA from 1 species
UUCAGAAAAAGAUAUACUCUC